ensembl:lncRNA
AUCUAUUGCUCUAUGAUUUUUUCUACAUGAACAAAUUGAAUUUGAAAGCAUAUAAGACUAGAUCUCCAUCUUAGGCAGUGAAACUAGUAAAGAAGCUACUGUAACUCUGAAGAAAGAAUCCAAAACGCUGAUUUCCUAUAGAAGUUCUGAAAAAGUGACAUUUAACUAUGUGCUUGGACUGGAUCUAAAAUUUCUAGAUCAUCAGAUGAGGAGCAGCUCGAUUUGCAACAUUACCUGCAAAGGGUUAAAAACCAGCCUCUCUCUGUUCCUUAUCUUUUUUUUUUUUGAGGAAGAUUAGCCCUGAGCUGACUGCUGCCAAUCCUCCUCUUUUUGCUGAGGAAGACUGGCCCUGAGCUAACAUCCGUGCCCAUCUUCCUCUACUUUAUAUGUGGGACGUCUACCACAGUUUGGCGUGCCAAGCGGUGCCAUGUCUGCACCCGGAAUCCGAACUGGCGAGCCCCCGGCCACCGAAGUGGAACGUGUGCACUUAACCACUGAGGCAAUGGCCGGCCCCUCUCUGUUUCAUAUUGGUUGCAUGCUUGACUGCUGAAGAAGAAACAUAUGAAGAGUUUGGCCCACAGCAUACACAGCAUUGUAUACACAGUAACUCCUGCCAGCCAUGGUCACAUCAAACUUGUGCAAAGGGAGAGACUCCAAAGAGGCAUUAGGUGAACAGUCGUCUGAUUUUUCACUGUCAGUUUCAGAAACUGAGCAAUUGAAAUACAAGUUCUAUCAUUUAGUGAGGUGCAAGUCUUCUGGGUACUUAGAAGGGUAUCUAUCUAGAGAAACUGUGUGAAACCAGAGAUCUCACUAUCCAGUUGUGAAAAGGUGAGAGUCCCAUAGAAUGUGCCAAGCAGGGGAUAACGUUCACUAAAGAUAAAAUCCCGUUGCAAAAUAGUGAUCCAGUCAUUCCCUGUCACCAAAAGGUUCCACUCUGAAAAGCUCAGUCCUAGGAAUAUGUCAGAGUCACCAUAGAUGCCAAACACGUUUGCUGAUGAAUCUCUUCCCUGAAGUGAAAUGGCCAGGCCAAUGAGAAAUACAUCCCCUUGGCGACAGGAAACUUUUCCAGAAAGGCCAUACAGAUGCCAUUCUUAUCAAACUCUCCUCUCAAGCCCCAGAGAAAGUGAACCCCCUUCUUGUCUUCUGAAACAACCAGCACAACCCAGAUCCAAUCAAAAUGCAGCAGCAACAAGACCGUGCCAAGGGCCAGUGCUGUGUUUCUGGGGGCCCUCUGAUAGAGAGAUGGAAACUGGCCUUUGCCACUCAGGAUGGGAUCAAAGAAGCCAUAGGAGAGCUCAGUGGGAAAAGAAAAGCAUGAUCCCAUGUGAGAUCAGAGGAAGCAACAUGAGGACGGAAUGAAGCACAACUAUCAGCCCAUCUAACUUCAAUUAACUGUUAAUGGGCAUCAGGCCAAGCUGCCUGGUUGCUGUUCAGCUCAAGAGUUCCCUGCUGAAAGGAAUCACAGAGAAGCUUUGCUCAUUCCACUUUUAUGCCUCACUCUCCCUCUGAAAGUUCUCUGCAAAACAAUUGCCAGAGCUCAGAAAUCCCCAAAACUUUAGCCAGUUAGGGCAUGCCCAUUUUCUCCUUCUCUCUCACUCUCUGCAAGAGAUUGAAUUAUUGACCCAAAUCCUUCACCCCUCACUGUACUAUUGGCCUUUGUUUUAUAACUUUGCAGUUACUCUUGCUAGACGUGGAAUGUACUUCCCUAUCCUUUGACCUUGUUUAUACUCAGCGUGUGACUUGAUUACACCAAUGGUGUGUUAGUGGACACGACGUAAGCAAAGUCUUGAAAUGUGCUUACUCAAUGGGGAUUGACUUUCUGCACUUUUCCCAUUAUCAUGAGAAAAAUUUUUUUCCUAGGACUUUACUGCCCCUUCAGCCUGGGCUUCAAAAGGUGAACACGUACAGCAGAUGUGAGAGCAACCACCAGCAAGGAACAAAACCUGCACUCAGCAGAACCCAGCCUAGAUCCGCUGACCAGCCAACCAACAUAGAGAUACAUUCAUGAGAAUAAAUAAUUGCUGCAAGUUACAGAGUUCUAUAUAAGUUUUUGGAUGUAGUAUUAUGAUGCUAAUAACUAAUGGAUAUAGAAAUUGGUCUUAUAUCAGGAGAAAGUGCAUCCAGAACUGACGUGAAUGCCGAGAUCUUGGUCUUUGAGCCUGAUGCUGUGAUUCCAUGAGACUUCUGCGGCUCUUUGGGGUGGACCCAAGGCCACAUGAUUUCAUCAGAGCCCCUGGAGAGCACCCCCAAAGACCUUCCUCUUCUGAAGCAAAGGAUAAUUUCAACUGUAUUCAUGGGCAGGUCCAAGGAAUCCUUCCUGAGGAAAUGGCAGUCAGCUGAAUGUUACUCAGCCUUACAGAGGAAGCAAAUUAUGACACAUACUGCAACAUGGAUAAACCUUGAGGACAUUAUCCUAAGAGAAAUGGGCCAGUGACAAAAGGAUAAAUGCUGUAGGACCCCACUUAUAUGAGGUGCACAGAGGAAAGGCCAUAUGAGCACACAGAGGGAAGGUGGCCAUCCACAAGCCAAGAGAAGAGGGCUCAAAAUGAAACCAAUCCACCUGGAGCCUGGAUCUGGGGCUUUUAGCGUAUAUAACUCUGAGAAAAUAAACUUGUGUUGGUUAGACCGCCUAGUGUUUCAUAUUUUGUUACAGCAUCCUGAGCUGACUAAUUCAUCUCAUAUGGGCACAUUCCUUGUUAGGAUUCUCUUACAGAGAAUAUCUUUCCAAGAUGAAAUUAAAGGGAAGUGAAUUCUCUCUUCAUUUCUUAAAAAUCACAAUGUGUAUCUGGGGAAUAAGAAAUUGUGGAAAAACAAGGUGAAAUCCCCCAGGGGAAUGAGUUCCAGCAAUUCUCAUGACACACAGUGUGGCCUAACUCCCUAGCUUGUUGUUUUAUGUGCCCGGAGAAUCUGAAGAACAAGGCCAUCUGGAUCUCUAGACUUGAGUGCUGCUUUCCUGGAAUCCCCCCUUGGAGCCCAGCCAUGUUGCAGGCUGACCCCAACCACCUGGAGGAGCCACCUGGGAGCACUGUGGUCCAUAGCCCCAACUGAGCUCCAGCCAGGUGAAUGUGCCUUCUUGGAUGUUCAGUCCAGUUGAGAGUUGUGGUGGGCACAUCCUGCACACCAUCUGAAUGGCAACUCUGUGAAAGGCUCCUAGCAAGACCUGCCCAACCAAACCCUUCCUAAGCUCCUGACCCAC